rnacentral:rRNA from 3 species
GGGUUGUGAGGUUAAGCGACUAAGCGUACACGGUGGAUGCCCUGGCAGUCAGAGGCGAUGAAGGACGUGCUAAUCUGCGAUAAGCGUCGGUAAGGUGAUAUGAACC